CGAGAAGAUACAAGCUGCUAGAGAUGAAAAGACAAAGCAUGACGAUGGUUUUCUCAGAGUCACCGCUGCAGAGGUUCAUGCCACGGAAUGGGACACCUUUGUCAUCAUCAUGUUAUACACCAGUUAUGUUUCACUGUGAAGUCUGAAUAAAUUAUUGUACUGUUUGCUAAAA